ACUUGCACUUGUUUCCGUUUUUCGAUUCCGAUUAACUAUAAUCUUGUGCUAUUUACUUUCAGUUCCAAUAGGCCAAUAGUUUACUGGUAUGCCUGGAUCGGAAUACCACGUAUUACAGUGCCUCGAACCAAAGCCGUAACACUAUCAUAAACAGAAGCACUCGCGGAGUCCAAUUUAGAUAAUUUUCCGCUGGACAUUUUAGUUUAAAUGGUGCCGAAGCCGGAAGCUGCUCAUAUAGGCAUAUCUCCUCUCCAUAGAUAUACAUAUCACACCUAGUUUUUGUCCACUAUUUUAUGGAUACUUUGUCUUUGGUUCUUUCGAAUCAGAAAAUCCCCCAGUUGGGCUUCUUUUAUUUACUAUUCCUGUAUUGCGACCAUCCAAGUCCCACAUUGGCCUGUUAUCACAGAAACCGUCACAUUCGCCCACCACUCUAAUCUUAUCACUCCACUACCUUCCACAAACACUCACAAAAACACACAUUUUGCUAAAAAAGAAUUCGGCACUAAUUAGAUAUAGUUCUCACAUAUAUUUCUUCAAUGAUUUACGAUUGAUUUCAAAGGAAGUAA